rnacentral:rRNA from 1 species
UACGUAGGGUGCAAGCGUUGUCCGGAAUUAUUGGGCGUAAAGAGCUUGUAGGCGGUCUGUCGCGUCUGCUGUGAAAAUCCGGGGCUCAACCCCGGACUUGCAGUGGGUACGGGCAGACUAGAGUGUGGUAGGGGAGACUGGAAUUCCUGGUGUAGCGGUGAAAUGCGCAGAUAUCAGGAGGAACACCGGUGGCGAAGGCGGAUCUCUGGGCCAUUACUGACGCUGAGGAGCGAAAGCGUGGGGAGCGAACAGG